rnacentral:lncRNA from 1 species
GUACAUAAUAAAAGCAUUGACAUUUUUAAUGUUUUGUAUGGAAUAUCUCUAGGAUGAACUGGGAAGUCCACUGACUGCCUUCACUGCUGCCUUUGGCUUGGUUUUGUAAUUUUACAUCUUUGUCCUUACACCGGAGCCUGAUCCAGGAAACCAGGGAGUACUUCAGGUUCUUCCAUUGAAAUGCUUGAGGCUGGCAGAUGUGUUGACAAGUGACUGCCUGACCAGUGAGUUUGUCUCCCAGUUUGUAUUUGGGAAAGUUAGCUGAAUGCAAAAAGAAUCAAGAAACAGAGAAACAUUCCAUGGUCCUUAAAACCCAAAGGUAAGAUUCUCUUCCUAAAUAUACUAUUAAGCAAGGUAGCUCUGAUGAACCUUUUUUAAUACCUUUUAAGGACAAAGACUUAACUGGCCCUGCUGAUGGGAAAGUCAUAAUGUGGCUUUUUUCCUGAUGGCUUUCU